rnacentral:rRNA from 1 species
ACGAACGCUGGCGGCGUGCUUCACACAUGCCAGUCGCACGGAAAGGCCCUGCUUUUGUGGGGUGCUCGAGUGGCGAACGGGUGAGUAACACGUGAGUAACCUGCCCUUGACUUUGGGAUAACUUCAGGAAACUGGGGCUAAUACCGGAUAGGAGCUCCUGCUGCAUGGUGGGGGUUGGAAAGUUUCGGCGGUUGGGGAUGGACUCGCGGCUUAUCAGCUUGUUGGUGGGGUAGUGGCUUACCAAGGCUUUGACGGGUAGCCGGCCUGAGAGGGUGACCGGCCACAUAGGGACUGAGAUACGGCCCAGACUCCUAAGGGAGGCAGCAGUGGGGAAUAUUGCACAAUGGGCGGAAGCCUGAUGCAGCAACGCCGCGUGCGGGAUGACGGCCUUCGGGUUGUAAACCGCUUUCGCCUGUGACGAAGCGUGAGUGACGGUAAUGGGUAAAGAAGCACCGGCUAACUACGUG